rnacentral:rRNA from 1 species
AAAGGCGAAAAGAACCCCGGCGAGGGGAGUGAAAAAGAACCUGAAACCGUGUACGUACAAGCAGUGGGAGCACCCUUUGGGGUGUGACUGCGUACCUUUUGUAUAAUGGGUCAGCGACUUAUAUUCUGUAGCAAGGUUAACCGUAUAGGGGAGCCGGAGGGAAACCGAGUCUUAAUUGGGCGUUAAGUUGCAGGGUAUAGACCCGAAACCCGGUGAUCUAGCCAUGGGCAGGUUGAAGGUUGGGUAACACUAACUGGAGGACCGAACCGACUAAUGUUGAAAAAUUAGCGGAUGACCUGUGGCUGGGGGUGAAAGGCCAAUCAAACCGGGAGAUAGCUGGUUCUCCCCGAAAGCUAUUUAGGUAGCGCCUCGUGAAUUCAUCUCCGGGGGUAGAGCACUGUUUCGGCUAGGGGGCCAUCCCGGCUUACCAACCCGAUGCAAACUGCGAAUACCGAAGAAUGUUAUCACGGGAGACACACGGCGGGUGCUAACGUCCGUCGUGAAGAGGGAAACAACCCAGACCGCCAGCUAAGGUCCCAAAGUCAUGGUUAAGUGGGAAACGAUGUGGGAAGGCCCAGACAGCCAGGAUGUUGGCUUAGAAGCAGCCAUCAUUUAAAGAAAGCGUAAUAGCUCACUGGUCGAGUCGGCCUGCGCGGAAGAUGUAACGGGGCUAAACCAU